CGCUGGCGGCGUGCUUAACACAUGCGAGUCGAACGAUGAAGCCUAGCUUGCUAGGUGGAUUAGUGGCGAACGGGUGAGUAAUACGUGAGUAACCUACCUUUAACUCUGGGAUAAGCCUGGGAAACUGGGUCUAAUACCGGAUACGACCAAUCUCCGCAUGGGGUGUUGGUGGAAAGCGUUAUGUAGUGGUUAUAGAUGGGCUCACGGCCUAUCAGCUUGUUGGUGAGGUAACGGCUCACCAAGGCGACGACGGGUAGCCGGCCUGAGAGGGUGACCGGCCACACUGGGACUGAGACACGGCCCAGACUCCUACGGGAGGCAGCAGUGGGGAAUAUUGCACAAUGGGCGCAAGCCUGAUGCAGCGACGCCGCGUGAGGGAUGACGGCCUUCGGGUUGUAAACCUCUGUUAGCAGGGAAGAAGAGAGAUUGACGGUACCUGCAGAGAAAGCGCCGGCUAACUACGUGCCAGCAGCCGCGGUAAUACGUAGGGCGCGAGCGUUGUCCGGAAUUAUUGGGCGUAAAGAGCUUGUAGGCGGUUUGUCGCGUCUGCUGUGAAGGCCGGAGCUUAACUCCGUGUAUUGCAGUGGGUACGGGCAGACUAGAGUGCAGUAGGGGAGACUGGAAUUCCUGGUGUAGCGGUGGAAUGCGCAGAUAUCAGGAGGAACACCGAUGGCGAAGGCAGGUCUCUGGGCUGUAACUGACGCUGAGAAGCGAAAGCAUGGGGAGCGAACAGGAUUAGAUACCCUGGUAGUCCAUGCCGUAAACGUUGGGCACUAGGUGUGGGGGACAUUCCACGUUUUCCGCGCCGUAGCUAACGCAUUAAGUGCCCCGCCUGGGGAGUACGGCCGCAAGGCUAAAACUCAAAGAAAUUGACGGGGGCCCGCACAAGCGGCGGAGCAUGCGGAUUAAUUCGAUGCAACGCGAAGAACCUUACCAAGGCUUGACAUAUACUGGACCGCAUCAGAGAUGGUGUUUCCCUUCGGGGCUGGUAUACAGGUGGUGCAUGGUUGUCGACAGCUCGUGUCGUGAGAUGUUGGGUUAAGUCCCGCAACGAGCGCAACCCUCGUUCUAUGUUGCCAGCACGUUAUGGUGGGGACUCAUAGGAGACUGCCGGGGUCAACUCGGAGGAAGGUGGGGAUGACGUCAAAUCAUCAUGCCCCUUAUGUCUUGGGCUUCACGCAUGCUACAAUGGCCGGUACAGAGGGUUGCGAUACUGUGAGGUGGAGCUAAUCCCUAAAAGCCGGUCUCAGUUCGGAUUGGGGUCUGCAACUCGACCCCAUGAAGUCGGAGUCGCUAGUAAUCGCAGAUCAGCAACGCUGCGGUGAAUACGUUCCCGGGCCU
rnacentral:rRNA from 1 species